CACAAUGAAACACAAUUGAGUUGGUUAUUUAUCUUGCCCUACAGAAUCUCCUCUUCCAAUGCCAUGAUGCAAUCUGCUUUAACCUGUGGCUGGGCACUAAUAGAUUUCUACUAUAUGAAGACUACUGUCAGCCUGACUCCAGUAACUGACCUCUGAAAGGGAUCACAGUCAGUUGAAAAAGAGUAAAAAGAUCCAUCCCAGCAUGAACAUGGCAUCUCCUCAGAGCUGAACUUUCAGAACUUCAUGAGAGGAGGCACAAAAGGGUCAGUAAGAGACA